CUGCAGGCCCCGGCCGCGGGGUUGGUUUCCACCCUGGAGGUUGCUGACACCCUGUGCCCUCGGCUGACUUCCAGCCGGUGGCACAGACGCCUCCAGGGGGCAGCACUCAAGCGCAUCUUAGGAAUGACAGUAACAGCGGGAACAUGAAGCCGCCACUCUUGGUGUUUAUUGUGUAUCUGCUAUGGUUGAAAGACAGUCACUGCGCACCCACUUGGAAGGACAAAACUGCUAUCAGUGAAAACCUGAAGAGUUUUUCUGAGGUGGGGGAGAUAGAUGCAGAUGAAGAGGUGAAGAAGGCUUUGACUGGUAUUAAGCAAAUGAAAAUCAUGAUGGAAAGAAAAGAGAAGGAACACACCAAUCUAAUGAGCACCCUGAAGAAAUGCAGAGAAGAAAAGCAGGAGGCCCUGAAACUUCUGAAUGAAGUUCAAGAACAUCUGAAGGAAGAAGAAAGGCUAUGCCGGGUGUCUUUGGCAGAUUCCUGGGGUGAAUGCAGGUCUUGCCUGGAAAAUAACUGCAUGAGAAUUUAUACAACCUGCCAACCUAGCUGGUCCUCUGUGAAAAAUAAGAUUGAACGGUUUUUCAGGAAGAUAUAUCAAUUUCUAUUUCCUUUCCAUGAAGAUAAUGAAAAAGAUCUCCCCAUCAGUGAAAAGCUCAUUGAGGAAGAUGCACAAUUGACCCAAAUGGAGGAUG
rnacentral:sRNA from 1 species